UUAAAGGAAUUGACGGGCCCCGCACAAGCAGCGGAGCGUGUGGUUUAAUUCGAUGCUACGCGAAGAACCUUACCAGGGUUUGACAUACAAGUAGUAGGGAAAGGAAACUGGACCGACCUUCGGGAGCUUGUACAGGUGCUGCAUGGCUGUCGUCAGCUCGUGUCGUGAGAUGUUCGGUUAAGUCCGCUAACGAGCGCAACCCUCGCUGUGUGUUACAAGUGUCACACGGAACUGCCGGUAUCAAGCCGGAGGAAGGUGGGGAUGACGUCAAGUCAGCAUGGCCUUUAUGUCUGGGGCUACACACACGCUACAAUGGCCAGUACAAUAGGUUGCAAGACCGCGAGGUGGAGCCAAUCCUUAAAGCUGGUCUCAGUUCGGAUUGCAGGCUGCAACUCGCCUGCAUGAAGUCGGAGUUGCUAGUAACCGCGCGUCAGCCAUAGUGCGGUGAAUACGUUCCCGGGCCUU
rnacentral:rRNA from 1 species